rnacentral:rRNA from 1 species
CCUACGGGAGGCAGCAGUGGGGAAUAUUGCACAAUGGGCGAAAGCCUGAUGCAGCGACGCCGCGUGAGGGAUGAAGGCCUUCGGGUUGUAAACCUCUAUCAGCAGGGAAGAGAAAGUGACGGUACCUGAAGAAGAAGCCCCGGCUAACUACGUGCCAGCAGCCGCGGUAAUACGUAGGGGGCAAGCGUUAUCCGGAUUUACUGGGUGUAAAGGGAGCGUAGACGGCAAUGCAAGUCUGAAGUGAAAGCCCGGGGCUCAACCCCGGGACUGCUUUGGAAACUGUUGAUCUAGAGUAUCGGAGAGGAAAGUGGAAUUCCUAGUGUAGCGGUGAAAUGCGUAGAUAUUAGGAAGAACACCAGUGGCGAAGGCGACUUUCUGGACGAAAACUGACGCUGAGGCGCGAAAGCGUGGGGAGCAAACAGGAUUAGAUACCCUAGUAGUC